UACGAAGGGGGGCUAGCGUUGUUCGGAAUUACUGGGCGUAAAGCGCGCGCAGGCGGCCAUUCAAGUCAGGGGGUGAAAAGCCCAGAGCUCAACUCUGGAACUGCCCUUGAAACUGUAUGGCUUGAGUAUGAGAGAGGUGAGUAGAAUUCCCCAGUGUAGAGGGUGAAAAUUCGUUAGAUAUUUGGGGAAAGAAACACCCGGGUGGCGAAAGGGCGGCUCACUGGCUCAUUUACUGACGCUCAGGCGCGACAGCGUGGGGGAUCAAAACAGG
rnacentral:rRNA from 1 species